AGAUUUUCUCCCUUCAUCAUGCAAUUGUAAAGCUGGGCUGGGACUUCAGGCAAACACAAAGCCACAAAACAAAAUAGUCAAAAAUUAUAAUUUCCUUCUUCAGCUCCCAAAUCAAGAUAGCACAGCUGAACACAUUAAUUACGAAGACAUCAUUUGUUAACAAUGUGCUACUGGGAUAUUUACAAAUCCAUUGAUCUGCGAGGCAUUGAAGGGGAAGAAAAGGUUCAAGAAGAAAUAAGGAGGAAGAAAAAGCACCAAGGAGAGCUGCAGCACUUAAAAGGGAGUUUGUGAAGGCUGAAUGGUUCCUCCUGAGGAAAAAAGCAGAAACACAUGUCCUGAGUUAUCUGCAGGAGUCAGGAGUGUCGUGUUCUGCGCAGAAACACUGCCUUCAAAGCUCUGAAGCCAUUUAGGUAACACACAGCACCUUCAUUUGAAGGUUUCCAGAUUAUUCUGUGUGAGCAGUUUCUCAUGGAGAAGAUAUGUGCCUGCUUGGAUCCUCUUUAACUUGCUAAAUAAAUUUGUUUAAUACCCAGCAGCGCUGUGGCACACAAGCAGGUCUAAAAUGCAGAGAGUUAAAGAAUUUAAGCCCUGCCACAAAAGAGUUUUACUCAGAUUAAAAGGGAACAAAGCCACGUCUAAUCUCUGCGCUGCCACUCAGACCCAGCUUGCUGGGCACUGCUAAUUGCAGCCUUUGAGGCCAAGGAAAAUGCAGAACAUCAGUAGAAAACCCAUUUAUUUGUGUCCCGUGCGUUAGACACAAAAAUGCUUGAAAAGGGAAUAAUGUGGGAAGUUUUAAUGCUAAAUGGCAUGUGUGAUGACAUUUACCAGCUCAGCUCAACCCAGCUGUGACCACGGCCAAUCCAGCGUGGCAGCACAAUGAAUGUCACACUGCUGCAGCCCAGAGUGAGGAUAUUGCCCAUCUGUAUCGUAAUUCCAAUAAAGGAAUAAAUACUUACCCUAUUUAGAGCUGAAGUUCAGUAUUUGUAGGAUGACAAAUGGAUUUGUAAACCCUAUUUUCAAGUAAUCAGUUUAAAGGAAAUUUCACUAUUGCUUACUCUGGGCUUAAGAUUUCCAAACCACCCGAAAAACAAAGAAAGAACUGGCCCAGUAAGAUAAGAUUCCUUAAACCUUUAAAUGAUCUGUUUAAUAUUUUAAUUUGCCUUUGCUUUCUUUGUUAAUAGCACCACUUGGGAUGUGCAGUGAAAGCUCUUCCACAAGAGUUGCACUGGAAAAGCCUUAGCAGGAGACAACACAUGCCUGCCUCAGGGGUUACAAGACAAAUCAAUCUAUUUUUCUCCUUUCCUCCAAGGGUAAUUGGCCUUUAAAAUUACAGAGAAAAAUAGGCCUUCGUGUCAGCACAAUGCAGGCACAUCUACAGCCAUUUUCCAUUUCUUUUUCAGUUGGAAUUCUCAGCUGAGAGGUAAACUUAUAAAGGUGAGAAAAUAAAAAGAAGAUGAAGAGGAACGAUUGCAUCAGUUCAAAUCCCCUCCAAUAACAAGCAGCACUGUGACCAGCAUUUGAGGCUGAAAUUUACUGAAACCUGCUAUGAAUAGCUGUCAUUUUCCAAAGCAGUAUUUUUUUUUAUUCUUGAUUGUGAUAAAAUUUUCUCGAAUUUUUGUGACAGCCUGUACUGCUGGCAUUCAUGGAGAUUUAUCACAGAAUUUAGUCAGACUGAGGACUUAUAAUUAUUGCUUCAUUUCCCAUAAAAUCUCACAAAGUAAUAGUGAUUUUUACCUCAUUCUUCUGAAAUUGCCUUUUUCAAGGAGCAAUCAUGGUUGUGAAUAUCCCUAGAAUCCUUCUGCUGUGCUGUACACAUAAUCACCUGCAGACUCACUUUCAGCCUUUGAAUACUGGUAAAUUGUAUACAGUGCAUUUAAAUUGGCUAAUAAAUUGUUUGAUAGCAGUGAAACUCAGAUGAUAGUCUUCUCACUUUUCUGAUUGCUAUUAAAUCUGCUUUGCAAUACAUUAAUCACAUUCUACUUUUAAUAAGAGACUGUCACGUGAAAAGAUUUCCCUGUGCAUAAAGAUGAGUAAUCAGCCGAGCUACAACUGGUACAUAAAAACAAGAACAAAGUUGAAAAAAGUCAAAACAAGUUAGUGUUUUAAAUCCAGAACUGAUAUUCCCUGAACCAGUCCUGGGAGCACGAAACCACUGAUGUGACCUCGCUCCCUGGGAGUGUGAGUACAGGUGUAAAGCAAUUAUUGGAUUUGAUAUCUGAAUGAACUCAGGCUCCCAUUAGAGCCUGAAUGCUUCAGUGACCCUAUUAUUUUCCUUCCAGUGCUCCCAGACCUGAUCUACUUAAUUAUUCUGACUAGUGAAACAUUUAGGACAUGAAUGUGGGAUUUGUUUGAAGCCAAAUGAGACAAAUGAAAGUACUUCAGAAAACAACUCCAAGAAAAGAAUAAGACGAGUGAGAAUCGAAUGUGUCACAUCCAGCAAGGUCAGGACUAAGUAACAGUAACAAAAAAAAAGAGAGAGAGAGAUCCUUGGCAAUAAAAAUACAUUUAUUCA